CCAGACUCCUACGGGAGGCAGCAGUGGGGAAUAUUGCACAAUGGGGGGAACCCUGAUGCAGCGACGCCGCGUGAGGGAAGAAGGUUUUUGGAUUGUAAACCUCUGUCCUUGGUAAAGAAGCAAGACGGUAGCCAAGGAGGAAGCCACGGCUAACUACGUGCCAGCAGCCGCGGUAAUACGUAGGUGGCAAGCGUUGUCCGGAUUUAUUGGGUUUAAAGGGUGCGCAGGCGGCCUGUUAAGUCAGCGGUAAAAGCCGGGGGCUCACCCCCGGCGAGCCGUUGAAACUGGCGGGCUGGAGCUGGAGAGAAGUACGCGGAAUGCGCGGUGUAGCGGUGAAAUGCUUAGAUAUCGCGCAGAACCCCGAUUGCGAAGGCAGCGUACCGGCUCCACACUGACGCUGAGGCACGAAAGCGUGGGUAUCGAACAGGAUUAGAUACCCGAGUAC
rnacentral:rRNA from 1 species